UAUGAUGAUCACAUCUCUCUUGUUGUUUAUAGAUUGUCUCAGCUCUUGCAGUUGAUCAUUCUAGAUCGAGAGUACUUUCUGGAAGCUAUGACUACACCGUAAGAAUGUAUGACUUUAAAGGGAUGACUUCUAAGUUGUAGUCAUUCAGACAGUUAGAACCUUUUGAGGGACACCAGGUUCGAAGUAUAAGUUGGAGUCCUACGUCAGAAAAAUUUUUGUGUAACAGGUUCAGCACAUGCUAAGAUUUAUGAUCGAGAUGGACUUACCCUGGGUGAGUUCAUCAAGGGAGAUAUGUAUAUACGUGACUUAAAAGAACACCAAGGGUCAUAUAUCUGGCUUGACUGGUGGAGAAUGGAAUCCCAAGUCCAAGGAAACUAUCUUAACUUCUUUUGAAGAUGGGUCUUUGCGUGUAUGGGAUGUAAAUGACUUCAAAUGUCAAAAACAGCUUUGACAGGAACUCAUGUUUUGGGUUAUGGAAACUUAAAGCAAUUAUGGAGCAUGAAGUCUGUAUGGGGCAGCAGGCUAGACAUUCACGUAGAGAGAGCACAUACAGAUGGUGUAGACUUAAGUUUUCGAUUGAUGGCUUGAUUCUCUUAUCCAUAAGCAUGGAUAAUACAUUUAAGGAGGAAACUUGAGCUUGUAUCAAGAAUGGGAAUCUCCCCUCAUCAAAGUGUGGUUCGCUGUAGUUUGUAUCCAAAAAUCAAGUGUUCGUAGCCAGCGGUUGCAAUAGCAGGAGUUUGCAGCCACAUAUGAUGUAGUUACAAGGGCUAGAGCCUACUAAGAGCUUUAUAAGGAGUUUAGGACUUUGUCGAGAGCCAAGGCUGGAGCCCACCAGGAACUGGGUUUAGAUUAGAAUUUUGGAGACUUUCUUUCAGUUUUGUGUUUUGGUUAGUUUUCUUAGGAGUUGAGUUUUAGUGAGUUGUAUAGUCCUUUUUAUGUGUAUGGUUUUUUUAGACUUGAUUUGAUUAUUAAUCAAUUAAAUGAAAGUUGAAUUUUUGUUAA